rnacentral:lncRNA from 1 species
GCUAACCUUACAAGUCUUUGAUUCCUAGCCAACAAUAUCAGCUAGAUUAUAGUAAAAUAAAACAAGAAGAAAUAUUUAAAGAUAACUUAGAGGCCGAAUCCAAAUCAAACAUGACCACCACACUUUGAUUCUCUUCCAAACAGGAAACGAAUAUUUUGACGUGGUAAUUCUCUUGCUCUCGUUUCGACAUUCAAUAAACUCAUCCUGCACAUGAAACACGGUCUGCAUGAAGCCAUGCAUGGCUUGCAUGAGUAAUUUGCAUGAGCACAGCUCAAACGUACCCUUUGAACUUGUAGUUAGGUUUUGGUGCUCUUACUGAUCUCCUUGGCUCCUUAUCAAUGCCCCCUCGUGGAAGAGGACCCUUGUCCUCAAGGGUCA